rnacentral:misc_RNA from 1 species
AAGACUAUAGACCUGCGGAGUACCUGCGGAGGGAUCAUUAACAAAUUCUGAAUAGUAUUAUACAACAGUGAAUGAGGUUCUACCUACAUGGUAGGACAGCAAUACGCGAUAUUAUUGUAGUCAUUAACAUACACAAAUUUAUAUACAACUUUCAACAACGGAUCUCU